rfam:Populus trichocarpa scaffold_4_contig_353, whole genome shotgun sequence.
UCUAAAAAUCGAGAUAUGGGUUGAACAUUGAACAGUGUCUGGGCUGCAGGACAUAUUCUGACUUCCAUGUUGUUGCUACAAUUUGAACUUGAAAACAGUCUUUUUGAAUCUUGGACUCUUCAUAAAAGGUUUAAGCCUAUGUCUUAGCUUUCUAUC